UGAAGAAGCAGCACAGCAUGGACUACUAGAUGAUGGGGUUGCUUCUCCACGACAUCGAGGGUAGAGAAGUGGUUUGGGUUUCGGAUCCGAAACUCGCCAAUGCCUUCUUCGUCCCGUUCUUCUCUUUGCUCAAUUUCAACACGCACGACUACAACACAAAGGAUUCCACCACGGAAACGGAUCGCCAAUUGCAGUUUUUGUAAUAUUUACCAAUAGGAGUUUGAAGCAAACAAUAGGGAAUCUCACUCUGAGAAACAAAACGACAUCACAGGAUACGAAAUACUGGGAGUAUUUCUGUUGAUUCAACCUUGUAUAAUAGCUGCUGAAGGUCUCCGCCGAAGAAAUUUUACGUCAAUUGCUGGUUCAGUUCCUCAAGCAUCCUUUGCAUCCCAA